rnacentral:rRNA from 1 species
GACGAACGCUGGCGGCGUGCUUAACACAUGCAAGUCGAACGGAAAGGCCCUGCUUUUGUGGGGUGCUCGAGUGGCGAACGGGUGAGUAACACGUGAGUAACCUGCCCUUGACUUUGGGAUAACUUCAGGAAACUGGGGCUAAUACCGGAUAGGAGCUCCUGCUGCAUGGUGGGGGUUGGAAAGUUUCGGCGGUUGGGGAUGGACUCGCGGCUUAUCAGCUUGUUAGUGGGGUAGUGGCUUACCAAGGCUUUGACGGGUAGCCGGCCUGAGAGGGUGACCGGCCACAUUGGGACUGAGAUACGGCCCAGACUCCUACGGGAGGCAGCAGUGGGGAAUAUUGCACAAUGGGCGGAAGCCUGAUGCAGCAACGCCGCGUGCGGGAUGACGACCUUCGGGUUGUAAACCGCUUUCGCCUGUGACGAAGCGUGAGUGACGGUAAUGGGUAAAGAAGCACCGGCUAACUACGUG